GCAUGGGUUUGGAUUUAUGGAUGGCAGGCUUGUUCCUAUGGGCUUCUCACAGUGUCCCAAGCCAGAGCAAACUGUAGCCCUUCAGGGCUUCGGGCACUGAAGCUAGUCGCACAGUG
rnacentral:snoRNA from 1 species